CGUUGUUUGCCUUAUAAAUACGCACGCUCUACUUUAAACAAAAGCGUAGUCGCCCUAUACCAUUCCGUAUCCCUAUCCCAACACCCAUCCACCCACUCACGAACACGUGCCUGUCCUGUCGUCCUCAGUGUUGUGCGUCAGUAUGUGCAAAACAAAUUUAAACUUUACACCCAAAGUUGUUUUUUAUGAGCGAAACUUUAAAUAAUGGAAUUAUCUGACAAGAAGUUGGCCAGAGGACGAGGCCAAGGAAAAGCGCCGGAAGACGGCCAAAGUGCUCAGCCCUAAGCGAUAAUGAAAGAAAGAGCUAACUGAUUGGGCCAAUAUAAAGUUUGCAGUCGCUUCGAAACCAAUCAAUGGUGUAAUUUAUGCCGCUAUUUUCUCCAUGCCCCCCCAUGGCACCCCAACCAGCACCAUCGCACAUCAGCAUAUCAAAAAGCGAACCAGGGCAGCACCACCAUCUCCAACACCAACCCCACUUUCGGCCCGUUAUUAAAUAUUUAUUUACACUUCAGCUACAAUAAUUCAUUGAUGCAUCGAGCGCCUGGCACGACACGCUUUCUCUUUUCGCCACCGACUGGUUGGGGUCGCUCCAGAGCUGAGCUGAACAGGUUGGGUCGCUGGCGGGCACGACCCGGCAACGUAAACGUCAGGACUAACCUUUGCCCGAUGUCCUUCAAAGGCGCCGUCGCUGUGAAAGCAACAGCUGUGCGCUCUCUCUCGGCCAGCGAGCUUCGUCCUGCGAAGCUUUCUUCGACAUCUCACUUCCAGUUUCGAACUUGGCCAAAGCCCUCUUAUCAAAGCUUUCGAAAUAGGCGGAUUGAAAGGCGGCUCAAGCGAGGGCCAUUCAAAAGUU
ensembl:ncRNA lncRNA:CR43856 long non-coding RNA:CR43856